rnacentral:rRNA from 1 species
AUGGCGUCCAGAGCAGCAGCGGCCGUCCUCGUCCUUGCAGCCUUGAUCUGCGCCGCACACUCGUCGGCGGCGGCUGAGGGGCUUUCGCGGGGCUUCCACGCGGCGUCGUGCCCGGAGCUGGAGGACAUCGCGCGAACGCUCGUGGCGGAGACCUUCCGGCGCGACGUCGGCGUCGCCCCGGCCCUCAUCCGCAUCCUCUUCCACGACUGCUUCCCGCAGGGCUGCGACGCCUCGGUGCUCCUCACCGGGAACAACACUGAGCUGAAUGCGGUGCCCAACCAGACGCUCCGCCCCGUUGCUCUUGACCUCAUCGAGCGCAUCCGCGCCGCGGUCCACCGCGCCUGCGGCCCGACCGUCUCCUGCGCCGACAUCACCGUCCUCGCUACCCGUGACGCCCUCGUGCAGGCUGGCGGGCCCCACUUCGACGUCGCCUUCGGCCGCCGCGACGCGCUCGCCCCGGCGUCGCAGGAUCUUGUGGACACCCUGCCCGCGCCCUCCUUCGACGUGCCGACGCUCAUCUCCUCCUUUGGCAACCGGAGCCUCGACGUGGCGGACCUCGUCGCCCUCUCCGGCGCGCACACCUUCGGCAUCGCCCACUGCCCCUCCUUCUCCGACCGCUUCACUCCGAACAUCGACUUCAACCCGCUCAUCGACCCGUUAUUCGCCAGGAGGCUGCGGGCCAAGUGCGCCAAGGAUGUGCCCCAGGGCACCGCCAACCAGACCCUCGACGUGCGCACGCCGGACGUGUUCGACAACAAGUACUACCUCGACCUCAUCGUGAGGCAGGGCCUGUUCAAGUCAGACCAGAGCCUCAUCGACCACCCCGACACGACGCUCUUGGCUGCACGGUUCGCGCUCAUCCAGUCCUCCUUCUUUAGUCAGUUCGCCAAGUCCAUGGUGAAAAUGAGCAACAUGGACUUGCUCACUGGCACCCAGGGCGAGAUCCGGCAGAACUGCGCCGUCCCCAACAGGCGUGCCGAGGGCAUCGAGACCGCCAACGACGAGGGGCACACCGCCACCAUGUGA